GCAAAGGUAGCAUAAUCAGUUGGCUUAUAAUUGAAGUCUGGCAUGAACGAAAUUACGGGUAGAAGCUAUCUAUAAAAUAUUUUUAUGAACUUGGUUAGUAAGUGAAAAAACUUACAGAAUUAAAAUAGACGAGAAGACCCUAGAAAUUUUAAUACGUAUAGCAUUUUUGUUGGGGCGACAGAGUUACAAAGAACUAACUUUAAAGAACAUGAAACAGAGGUAAUAGAUAAAAUUACUCUAGGGAUAACAGCAUAAUUUUAUUAGUUUAUGACCUCGAUGUUGGACUAGGGACGGUAUACUUUAGAAGAGUGCACUGUAUGCUCUGUUCGAGCAGCAAUACCUACAUGAUCUGAGUCCAAAUCGA
rnacentral:rRNA from 1 species